UGGUCAAUGGACGUAAGUCUGAACCAGCCAAGUCGCGUGAGGGAAGACUGCCCUAUGGGUUGUAAACCUCUUUUAUAAGGGAAGAAUAAGUUCUACGUGUAGAAUGAUGCCUGUACCUUAUGAAUAAGCAUCGGCUAACUCCGUGCCAGCAGCCGCGGUAAUACGGAGGAUGCGAGCGUUAUCCGGAUUUAUUGGGUUUAAAGGGUGCGUAGGCGGUUUAUUAAGUUAGUGGUUAAAUAUUUGAGCUAAACUCAAUUGUGCCAUUAAUACUGGUAAACUGGAGUACAGACGAGGUAGGCGGAAUAAGUUAAGUAGCGGUGAAAUGCAUAGAUAUAACUUAGAACUCCGAUAGCGAAGGCAGCUUACCAGACUGUAACUGACGCUGAUGCACGAGAGCGUGGGUAGCAAACAGGAUUAGAUACCCUGGUAGUCCACGCCGUAAACGAUGCUCACUGGUUCUGUGCGAUAUAUUGUACGGGAUUAAGCGAAAGUAUUAAGUGAGCCACCUGGGGAGUACGUCGGCAACGAUGAAACUCAAAGGAAUUGACGGGGGCCCGCACAAGCGGAGGAACAUGUGGUUUAAUUCGAUGAUACGCGAGGAACCUUACCUGGGUUUAAAUGGGAAAUGCCGUAUUUGGAAACAGAUAUUCUCUUCGGAGCGUUUUUCAAGGUGCUGCAUGGUUGUCGUCAGCUCGUGCCGUGAGGUGUCGGGUUAAGUCCCAUAACGAGCGCAACCCUUACCGUUAGUUGCUAGCAUGUAAUGAUGAGCACUCUAACGGGACUGCCACCGUAAGGUGAGAGGAAGGCGGGGAUGACGUCAAAUCAGCACGGCCCUUACACCCAGGGCUACACACGUGUUACAAUGGCCGGUACAGAGGGCCGCUACCAGGUGACUGGAUGCCAAUCUCAAAAGCCGGUCGUAGUUCGGAUUGGAGUCUGUAACCCGACUCCAUGAAGUUGGAUUCGCUAGUAAUCGCGCAUCAGCC
rnacentral:rRNA from 1 species